ACGAUAAUUUAUCGGCAAAAUUUUGUGUUUGUAUUACCAACAUUGUUUAUCGGUAAAUUUUAUCGGAGUCGGGAAAGCUUUUUUUCCCUGUAUAGGAAACGUAUUAGCUGGUAUUAUGAAAACGAUAAAUUGUCGGGUUUUCACCGAUUUAAAAGCGGGUACAAAUUUUUAGACGACAGAUUUUUUUUUUGUAAAAUCUUCAUUUUAUCAAGGAAACUGGUGUAAUUAAUUGCUUUUUUAAAAUGAGUAAAAUCGUAAGCAACAAAAAACAAAUUGCGCGGUUAGUAGAAAAAAUGGAAGAGGACUUAAACCUGGCAAGGAAUGAUAAUCUGAAAUUCUGGAUAAACCUAAAAAAUGUGUACAUAUUAUAUAAAUAAUAAAAUAAAAUAGGUACAUAAACAUACAUUUUGUUGUCUAAAUCCAAUGGAUUAGUUGAAUCUCUUAUAUGUCGUCUUUGAAUAGCUUGCGUUUCUUCACUUUCAAAAUAUAAUGCACGUGACAUUUUCCCGAUAUAUCACAUCAAAACCAAAUUCAAAAUAGUUUUAAAAAUUUUUUGAAAAUAACUUUUGAAAGAAAACAAAUGUCAUUAGAAAAAAAAACAUUUUCUCCAAUUUACAAAAACAAAAAUUUGUAUGAAAAAGCUUCUUUUAAUCGGUUGAAAUAUUUUUAUCGGUAUCGGUUCAUAAUACAGAAGAAACCCAAAACCGAUGAGAACUGCCGAUAAUAUAUCGGCCGAUACCGAUGUUCAUAAU